rnacentral:rRNA from 1 species
GACAGAGGGUGCAACCGUUGUUCGGAAUUACUGGGCGUAAAGCGUGUGUAGGCGGUCCUCUAAGUCGGGUGUGAAAGCCCAGGGCUCAACCCUGGAAGUGCACUCGAAACUGGAAGGCUAGAGUACCGGAGAGGUUGGUGGAAUUCUCGGUGUAGAGGUGAAAUUCGUAGAUAUCGAGAGGAACACCGGUGGCGAAGGCGGCCAACUGGACGAGUACUGACGCUGAGGCGCGAAAGCGUGGGGAGCAAACAGG